rnacentral:rRNA from 1 species
UACGUAGGGGGCAAGCGUUGUCCGGAUUCAUUGGGCGUAAAGAGCGUGUAGGCGGCCAGGUAGGUCGGUUGUGAAAACUGGAGGCUCAACCUUCAGAGGUCGACCGAAACCAUCUGGCUAGAGUCCGGGAGAGGAGAGUGGAAUUCCUGGUGUAGCGGUGAAAUGCGCAGAUAUCAGGAAGAACACCCGUGGCUAAGGCGGCUCUCUAGUACGGUACUGACGCUGAGACGCGAAAGCGUGGGGAGCAAACAGG